rnacentral:rRNA from 1 species
GAUCAUGGCUCAGGAUGAACGCUAGCUACAGGCUUAACACAUGCAAGUCGAGGGGCAGCAUGACCUAGCAAUAGGUUGAUGGCGACCGGCGCACGGGUGAGUAACACGUAUCCAACCUACCGGUUAUUCCGGGAUAGCCUUUCGAAAGAAAGAUUAAUACCGGAUAGUAUAACGAGAAGGCAUCUUUUUGUUAUUAAAGAAUUUCGGUCAUCGAUGGGGAUGCGUUCCAUUAGGUUGUUGGCGGGGUAACGG